rnacentral:lncRNA from 1 species
ACAACACAAACCUCAUCUAUCCUAAUAGAAAAGCAGCUGGGAAGAAAAUACUUACCUCUGCUCCAGGGAGAGAGAAAAAUGACACAAAUCUUGUGUGAUCUACAGAAGAACAAAUCACUGUAGAAGAUCCUGAGUCAAGUACAUAUAAAGGAGGACUCCAAGGAGCCCCAUGUGUGAGCGACUAUGAAACAGAACCUACAGGUAAGGAUAGAAAGAGAAGAAUGAGACUGAAGUUUUAGAAGGAACCAAAAGUUGAAACCAAGUCAUGGCACUGAAGCUCCAAG